UUUUUUUUUUUUUUUCCUUUAUAGAAAACCUGAGGCCAAAGUCCAAAUGGCCAACUAAGAGGGUUCCCUCCCACCAUAAAUAUGUUCUAUUGUUGUUCUUAAGCUUGUGUUGGACUCUGUUGGCCUUAUCUUGGCAGUCAGUGACUUAGGAAAGUACCCAAAAGUCGUACAGCUAGGGGAAAAUGAUUCAUCAAGUAGCCAUGGUAACCCUCUUGGCUUAAACCACCAUGCACUGUUUUGCCCCAGACUCUGUAACUAUUGCUUAGCUCUGGUGUGUUUUGCUCAUUUCUGAAAUCCAAAUUCAAAAGAGCAGCCUCUAGCUCCAAAGGAUACAAGUCACUCAGGCAUAAAACCUUAUGCUUAUGGCAAGGAUAAUGCUGCCAUCAGCUCUAUGAUUGGUCAGUCCUCAGAGCCGUCCUAGAGGGCAGAGUUCCACUUCCGGAGUUGUAAAGCCCAGACUCUAACCUAGAGCCUGGCCUUGGUCCAGAUUUUCACGCAGGGCUGACUUUUCCUCACAGUGAUAAUCAGGCUUGAUCCCAGCCCCUCUGUUAAGAGUCCCAGGGGAAGGAAAAUGGAGUCUGACUUUAAUCUUCUUGCUGUCCCAAGGAAAGAAUGGUUUAGAUUUAUUUUUGAGCUGGACUCAAGACUCAUGAACCCCCUGGGCCUACCCUUAGGCGGCGCCCAUCAAAGGAACAGUUAGUGGAUUUUUCAGGUCCCUUCGCUGCCCCCUCUGGACUUGUAGGCCCUGUUUUCUUAUCUCCUUUUGACUCUCAUCACUGGCAUACAUGCAUGCACGGGAGCCUUUACUUUGUAUUUUGUUAUUAGCGGCAGGCUUUACGUAGAGGAAAGAGAAAAUCUCGGAAUAAUUGAGGGCCAGGGGAAAGCAGAGGGAUGUGCCUGCCGAUAUCGGAACGGUUUUCCCUGCUUCUGACAUGCAGCUUCAGUAUACACACACACACACACACACACACACGCACACACACACGCACACACAGCUAAUAACUAAUGGCCCCCUAAGUCCAUUCAUCCACCAGGUAGACUGAGCUUGGAAUUUGGAGGAAGCACGGGUAUUCAAGCAACAGGCUACCUUCCCAGAGCGUUGGCACUGGUGCCUGUGGACACUUUGUUCCAGGGAUAUAAAACUGCACUGGGGCUCCUGCCCAAAAACCACCCAAGGAGCCAGGCAUCCAUCCAUCCCACCUCUACAGGGUGGCUUUUGUUUUCGAAAGAAUCCCGCAUCCCCCACCCCCCCUUUUUCAAAAAACUUCAUCCCUGAUGAAGUCUUUGUGCGGAAUGGAGAGGAAUGUUAAUGAGGCCAGACGGAAUGGGCCAGGCAUAUUUUCUCUGUAAGGAUAGCUGCAGUUUGCAGAGCCUCUCCCUAAAAUGAUCAGAAAACAAAGCAAACCCUUGAACACAUCUCCACGGAACUCUCUAGGGAAGCUUAUGGAAAAAAAUGAAUAAAAGAUUUCACUGGCUCUGGCCAAGAGGAAUGGUCUUCCUUUGUUUUGUCCCUUCCGUAAGCUUUGCAGAAAAUUGCAGUGCUUUUCUCUCCGUGAUGCCCUCCCUGGGAGGCAGGCUGGCUCGAAGUCACCAUCAUCCAUAGGAAGGGGCUGGCCUCACCUGAGGGAAGUGGCUCCGGCCCAGAGUUGGGGUAUAGGCUGAUGCUGGUGAGGCUUAGAGUGGGGUACAUUUUCAACAGAGGAAUUAAUCUGGAGUGCCUGAAGGGUGUGUCUACGCACACUUCUUGAGCCAAGAUUUCCUGGCCUUUUAAUCACAUGUCAAAUUAGAGCAGUUUCCAUAGCAAAAUGAAAAUGUUUGAAGACUCUGAGCAAUGCCAGAGUGAGCCAUGUUCUUGAUAUUUAAGAACUCACUCACAGGGCGUUUGUAAUGAUGGUCUUUGGGUCCCUCCUGGGGCAUCUUGUCCUUGUGCCAUAAGCACAACAGUGUCAAAAUAAUUGCAAAGGACUCAGUGAGGGGGUCAGGAUAUAGAUAAGAAUAUAGUAGAUAAAUAUGCUGUGAUUUGGAGACCAGUUGAUAUUCACUUCAUAGGGCCCCAGAUUGACCCCUGAAGCUGCACACAUGUCCGUCAGUUGCUAUUUACUUAAUGCUAGUUACCAUUUUCCUUCAGUCCUUUUAUGUAUUCUUCAUAGUAUUUCUGAAUGAGGCUAUUUUAAAAUUCAUUCUUCCUUUCUCUCAUGUUUCAUGGCAGCCACCAAACAUCCCGCGCUCUUCAUCCGAUUUCUUUUACCCCAAAAGUCUGAUUCGUCGCACAGGACGGUCCCCAGCUCUGCAGGUUGGCGCUGUGUGGCUUAAAGCGGCUGUCCUAGGCCCAGGCUUCCAUUGCUUCCCCUGAUCUCCCUCCCCGACCCCUCCCUAGGCUGCUUUUAUCUUCUAACUUUCUCAGCUCCUGUAGAAGGUAGCGGCUUUCCUCACCCCACAAGUGAUCCUCACACCCCCCACUUGGUUGGUUUUCUUCUCUGAUGGAUGCUUGCCUUCUGAGCAAUGGCUGGACUGAUGUUUUGAUUAAAGCUAGCACGCCGAAGCUGCUGUUUGAUCUUGUGCCUUUACAUUUGUUCACUGAACAAAUAUUUUCCACACACUCAAUACAGUGCUGGGCUGGAAGCUGUGUAUCUAGCUUUGUAGGGUUAGCAAAGACACAUGGGUGCUGGAGAGAUGGCUCAGCGGUUAAGAGCACAGUGACUGCUCUUCCAGAGGUCCUGAGUUCAAAUCCCAGCAGCCACAUGGUGGCUCACAACCAUCUGAUGCCCUUUUUAAAAAAAAAAAGAAAAAAGAAAAGAAAACAGAAAGGACACACGGUGAAAUAGACUCGGAAUUCGAUGCAGAGGUGGGUCGUGUGGAUCACGGUCUUGGGGAUGUCAGAUAAGGAGUUCCCUAGGGGCAGUUCUAGGAUAGAAGCAGCCUGUAAAUUUGAGGACAGAUAAGAUUGAAAUGUGAAGGUGGGGAGAGCUGGGCAUCUGGAAGGGCACCUGGAAGCUGGGAGCUAACGGCAACAGUGCCCACAGUGAGGGGGGAGGAAGAGAAGGGGAAGCCAGCCAAGUCCUGCAGAAUUUCCAAAGAAUUCCUAUGAGACUUGGUCUCAUAAGACCUUACAGGAGAAUGCUGACACGCCUCUCCUCCAAUACACCUAGGUACCUUCCCCAGUCUCCCCCUCGGUGAGAGAGGAACUGGUAUUGAAACCCAGGUUGCUGUGAGCAUAUUAGCCAUCUUCUCCCCACUGUGCUCAAGUGGACAGUGACAGAGAAACCAAGGGCUACCAGGGUGUUAACUGCUGCCUGCAACAGGAGCAGGGGGAGACUCUGAGCACCUGCGAAACCACAGGCAACUUUUCGCAAGCGACUCCCGUGGGCCCGGAUGAAACGCUUUCCAAAUCUCUGCUGCAAGCCAGCACCUGUUUAAUCUGUGUGCCUCCACCUCCAUCCUGAGCCUUCCAGACCCUCACUGAGGAUGACAGUCUUGGGGGCUUCCAUUUUUACUAAACCAUCACGUUAGAGAAGCUGAAGGUGGAAGGGACCCUUUAGAGAAUAGCCGCUGAGGUUUUGUCUGUGACCUGAGGCUGACAGCAGACCACAGGCUUGCAGAGCCUGUGAAGAGCAAGGCACUGCAGGCUUGAGCUCUUCAACUCCAAGCCUCAGGCCCUGCCCCGUGGUACCUGCCUGGUCACCAGCCUGGUUAGCAUAGGAUCUUUAUUCUAUUUUUAAAGUUCGACCCAAGUGCAAAGCUCCAAGAGACAACAGAAGGGAAGUUUCCUGAAACUGCAAGAAUAGCUGAAGGUUGUCCCUGCUGCCAAUGGGCCUGCUUAGAGCAAGCUUCCCUUUCAAUCCUAGUACAUUCUUCACUAGCACUAUCCACCUCCCUCAUUGAUGCUUUAGUCAACUGAUGCCUUUUUCCUGAAUUGAGGAAAAGCAAUAUAUCAAAUAUGGAGUUUAACUUGUUUCUAAUUUGUGGGGCAGGGUACUCUGUCCCCUUUAGUUUAAGAAAUUUGGAGCAGAGAGAUGGAGCUGGGGACCUGUAUUUAAUAACAUCUCCUCCUCUCGCCUUGUUCUAAAGGGACAUCUGAUUCCCAUUAUUCAGCCAUU
rnacentral:lncRNA from 1 species